CAAUUAGUAUGUUUGUCUCCGGGACGACAAACAACAAAGCGGUAAACACAAGGAAUGAUCCGAGUCGUCUGCUCCCUGCCAGCAGACGAUACAUUGUCGGGGCAGCGAGAGGUGUACCACGUCCGUCGUCAAUUUCUCAAGCUAGUCCUUAGUUCGUGGUCCAAGAUGGGUUGUAAUGGCAGCAAAAGUACUCAGACGCAGUCGUCAACUGGACAGCAGCCUACGAGCGAUGCUAAACAGGAGCAGACGACAGAGGAGCAGACGAACAACGCUGCAGGGGGUGGCAAAUCAGAACAAACUGCCAAUCAAGAGACUGCCGAACAAGAAGCAUAAACAAUAUCUAUUAGUUUUUCCAACUGCUGAUGCCAUUACGAAGGAAUAAACCCAGCCUCCGGAAUGGCAUCAGUAUGUUAUCAAUUAUCUGUGAUAUAUGACGGACUUCUCAGCAUUACUGGAAUCAAAGAGGACUCUCUUGCUAAAUGACGUCAUCAGUCCCGUGCCACGCUCAAGACCAUUCCAUCCAUUUAUCUGUUCCUCAACAUGAUCAGGCAAUAACUCUCUUCACUUUCAUUUCCUGAUUUCAAAACAUAUAUGCCUCGUGUAAAUAAACUGUUUUAGAUUCCAAAGGUCAGCUACCUUGCAUGAGAACAAUAUAUACACGGAGACCAGCACAAAGGCUUGGUCUACUAGAUAAGUGCAAUGCGGCAAGCUAGGCUGGUUCUUGCAAUAACGAAUCACAGGCACCCGACUCCAUAAUAAUACAUGUAUUCAUUUUCGUACUCAUAUUUUCACUGUUAUAAGACCAAUUUGUGAAAAUAAAUUUACAAAAUCAAAAAAAUCAUAAAUUUUUAUUUCAAUUUUGUUUAUAUAGUGUAAAUAUCUUUAAUAGUGUAAAUGUGAGGGUUUCAUAGAAAACAAUAUUAUCAAGGAGUCAGAUGCACGUUCAACAAACAGUCAACUCGGAAUAUAUCAAAGUUUCGGCGACAUUUCUCAAUUACUUAUUUACUUUUAUUCUGUACUAACUAACAAUAGCUUCAGUUGAUGCCAUUGCUGGUAUUAAAACAUAUGUCGCGGCGAUGUCCCAUCAAUCCGAAUGCGAUAUAUUUGGAGUUGACAGUUAGUUCUCUAACCUACACACGUUUUUCUAUUGGUUUUUGUCCAAUGGCUCAACGCUGUUCGGUUGUAGGGAAUAUAAAGUAGUUAGAUAAAUAUUGUUAGUCAACUGUUGGAUGUUUGUUCCUCGCAUAAUCUGAAAUAUGACAUAUCUAAUCCGUCCAUUUAGAUGUGAUUCUCACGACAGCGUUGAAUUUUAUUUCAGCCAAGAAGCAUUUAAAUUUACAUAUGCAAGUAAUACGUUGCUUUAAGUUAGACAAAAUUUCACUUGAAAAUUAUAUUCGUUGUACAGUGAACCACUGAAGUCAUUACUGAUACAGUCACAUCCCUUUAGUCAAAACCCUCGUAAUGCGGAAUCCCCACUUUACGGACAGUUGCCGUUUAUUAUUAAUAGAACAGUAUUACUAUAUACACUUUAUUCGUUAUUUAACUGUGUACGGCACAUCCGCAUUAUAUGGCUGCAAUUAUAUUGUAGGUCUUUAGAUGCUUCAGGGGCGAUGGGGUAGCCUAGUGGUUAAAGCGUUCCUUGGUCACGCUGAAGACCCGGGUUCGAUUCCCCACAUGGGUACAAUGUGUGAAGCCCAUUUCUGGUUCCCCCGAAGUGAUAUGGCUUGAAUAAAACCACACUCCACACUCCAUCACCAGAUUGCUUCAGUAUUGUUUCCUUGGCAACGUGCAACAUUUACACGUGAUUGUUUCCAAUCCUUGUAUAUGUAUAAACGCAAUGUCUUCGUGUUGCUAGGAAAGUUGAUAAAAUUGUUUAAUGAAAUAUAACUAAACCUACAAGCAGCAUUAUUUGUGAGUCCAAACGUCUAACAGCAUGCAUAGUCUCAAGGUGAGGGUUUAGGUAUUUCGUCUCUUAACUGAAGACUGCUGUGAAAAAAUAUAUCUUUCGUAUACUGUUUGACUAUAUAUAUACUUGUGACACAUGUUAAUACUAGCUACAUGCUGGCGAGGACGUUUGCGUAUUAUUUGUAUAUUAUCUUUAUAACUCCAAAAUAAAAUAUUGCGAUCUA
rnacentral:misc_RNA from 1 species